UACAGAGGUGGCAAGCGUUGUUCGGAAUUACUGGGCGUAAAGGGCGCGUAGGCGGUUCGUUAAGUCCUGUGUGAAAUCCCCCGGCUCAACUGGGGAACUGCACAGGAAACUAGCGGGCUUGAGUUCGGGAGAGGGAAGCGGAAUUCCGGGUGUAGCGGUGAAAUGCGUAGAUAUCCGGAGGAACACCGGUGGCGAAGGCGACAUCCUGGACCGGUAUUGACGCUGAGGCGCGAAAGCCAGGGGAGCAAACGGG
rnacentral:rRNA from 1 species